ensembl:snRNA U6 U6 spliceosomal RNA
GUGCUGGCUUUGGCAGCACAUAUGCUAAAAUUGGAACAAGACAGAGAAGGUCAACAUGGUCCCUGUGCAAGGAUGACACACAAAUUUGUGAAGCGUUCCAUAUUUUU